GGAGUUGUAGCUCAGUGAUAGAGCACUCACUUAGCACAUGAGAGGCCCUUGGUUCGAUCCUCAGCAACACAU
rnacentral:tRNA from 1 species